GAGGCGGAUGAAUGGGUCGUGGCAAGAGGAGGAGAUUCUCUCUGCGCCGCUGUAGGGCCAGUGGAGGGGAGAGGGUCGCUGACUUAUGAGCUCGCUUCCCUCAGCAAUGGCCAAUCUGUGGGUGUUAUACAUGAAAUGGCCAAGACUCAUCUGUCUGCCUAUAAGAUGCUGCAUAAACUUCACCAUGCAGCGGGUGAUUGGUUGGAAGCUUCUUUCUUAAUCUGCAGAAAGAUGCUGUCAAGGUAGUUAAGCUUCAGAAGGUGGUGGACGUGGUGGUGUCUUUACUAUACUAUAAAGCUGGUAAAUGUUGUUUUAUAUCGUCCCAUUCUGUGGUGGAAGAGAGAUCAUCAAGAACAAUCAAGUAUUUACUUCCUUCUGGAUAUCGACAAGCUGGUGUGAUGAAUGGGAUGGAUCAAUGGUGGAUUUGGAGCCUGCGCUACGCGGAUCAUCUUCGAUGGGGCGCACCAACAUUGUUAGCCUGCUCGACGCAAUCAAGGUUAAGGGCUUUGUUAUGGGUGGUGGUUGCUACUUUUGCAGCGCCUAGCUUGUAAUUUCAGGUGUGGCCUUAAUUCUGGGUUUGUAUAUAACUCUUCUCCAUAAAUCAGAACGCAAUGCCUUCUGUAUUUUCUUGAGAAAAAAAAAAUCUGCAGUUCUUCAAGCUUAGGGUGCUCCUUGUUGAAAAACAAAGAGGGUGGUCCAGGUGGGAACCCACCUAAU